rnacentral:rRNA from 1 species
AAUUUUUCGCAAUGGGGGCAACCCUGACGAAGCAAUGCCGCGUGAAUGAAGAAGGCCUUCGGGUUGUAAAGUUCUUUCGUGGGAGACGAAAAGGUGAUCGCUAAUAUCGGUUACUGUUGACGUGAACCCAAGAAGAAGCACCGGCUAACUCCGUGCCAGCAGCCGCGGUAAUACGGAGGGUGCGAGCGUUAAUCGGAAUUACUGGGCGUAAAGGGCGCGUAGGCGGUUGGUUACGUCUGCCGUGAAAUCCCCGGGCUCAACCUGGGAAUGGCGGUGGAAACGGGCGGACUAGAGUAUGGGAGAGGGUGAUGGAAUUCCAGGUGUAGCGGUGAAAUGCGUAGAGAUCUGGAGGAACAUCAGUGGCGAAGGCGGUCACCUGGCCCAAUACUGACGCUGAGGCGCGAAAGCGUGGGGAGCAAACAGGAUUAGAUACCCUGGUAGUCCACGCCCUAAACGAUGGAUACUAGAUGUUUGGUGCCUUAGGUGCUGAGUGUCGUAGCUAACGCGAUAAGUAUCCCGCCUGGGAAGUACGGCCGCAAGGUUAAAACUCAAAUGAAUUGACGGGG